rnacentral:rRNA from 1 species
UACGGAGGAUGCAAGCGUUAUCCGGAAUGAUUGGGCGUAAAGCGUCCGCAGGUGGCACUUCAAGUCUGUCGUCAAAGACUGGGGCUUAACUCUGGAAAGGCGGUGGAAACUGAAGCGCUAGAGUGCGGUAGGGGUAGAGGGAAUUCCCGGUGUAGCGGUGAAAUGCGUAGAGAUCGGGAAGAACAUCGGUGGCGAAAGCGCUCUACUGGACCGCAACUGACACUCAGGGACGAAAGCUAGGGGAGCGAAUGGG